rnacentral:rRNA from 1 species
CCUACGGGGGGCAGCAGUGGGGGAUAUUGCACAAUGGGGGGAACCCUGAUGCAGCGACGCCGCGUGGGUGAAGGAGUGCUUCGGCAUGUAAAGCCCUAUCGGCAGGGAAGAAGCAAGACGGUACCUGACUAAGCAGCCCCGGCUAACUACGUGCCAGCAGCCGCGGUAAUACGUAGGGGGCGAGCGUUAUCCGGAUUCACUGGGUGUAAAGGGAGCGUAGACGGCCAGGCAAGCCAGGGGUGAAAGCCCCGCGCUCAAAGUGGGAACUGCCUUUGAAACUGGCAAACUGGAGUGUGUGAGAGGAUAGUGGAAUUCCAGGUGUAGGAGUGAAAUCCGUAGAUAUCUGGAGGAACAUCAGUGGCGAAGGCGACUAUCUGGCACAUAACUGACGCUGAGGAGCGAAAGCGUGGGUAGUAAACAGGAUUAGAUACCCGGGUAGUC